rnacentral:rRNA from 1 species
UACGUAGGGUGCAAGCGUUAAUCGGAAUUACUGGGCGUAAAGCGUGCGCAGGCGGCUAUGCAAGACAGAUGUGAAAUCCCCGGGCUCAACCUGGGAACUGCAUUUGUGACUGCAUGGCUAGAGUACGGUAGAGGGGGAUGGAAUUCCGCGUGUAGCAGUGAAAUGCGUAGAUAUGCGGAGGAACACCGAUGGCGAAGGCAACCCCCUGGACCUGUACUGACGCUCAUGCACGAAAGCGUGGGGAGCAAACAGG